UAAACAUUUCCUUUUGGCCCUGUUGGAA
rnacentral:piRNA from 1 species